GGCCGCUUGGCGAAAUGGUAUCGCGUCACUUUCCGGUAUUUUCUAUGGGGAAUUUGGUGAAGAUUGCGGGUUCGAGUCCCGUGGUGGUCG
rnacentral:tRNA from 1 species